AAAACCAACGUCUCAUCCCCUCCCCCCACCGACCUUUUCGUACCCCCAUCAAUGUCCACUCCAUAACGAAACGCACGUUCUUUCUCCUCUCUCUCUCUCUCUCUCUCUCUCUCUCUCUCGCGUUACACACCAUUAUUUCCACUUUAUUAUUUAUUAUUAUGUAAUAAAUAAAUAAAAUUCCAUUUUAACCCCUAUUUCCCAAAUUUUUCCACGCCCUUUUUUUUUUUUAAAAAAAAUUAAAAUUAAAUUUACUCCCCCCUCACUUUUCCCCGCCGCUUUAAAUGGUGUUGAAUCCUCCUCCUCCGACGAUGACCUUCGCGAAGCUCCUCUCUCGUCCCUCUCGCGUGGGCUCGGUGUCGCCUCGCUGUGCGAGAAGGGGAGGAGAGUAGCGAGGGAGGAGAGGGCGAUGUCGGCGGCGGCGGCGGCGGCGGCGGGGGCGGGGGGGAGGUGGGAGGGAGUGGACGAGAAGGUGGCGAGGGUGGUGGCGGAGGCGAACCUCGACCACGCGCCCGAUCGGCGCCGCGUGCGCGAGGCGUUCAAGGAGGCGCAGCUCGGGAUCGAUCACUGCUUGUUCAAGGUAUUCCGCGGAUUUGUUCCCCUUGUUCGCUCCUUUUUGGAUCUUAGACAUUCAUGGGUUUGCCCAAUUCGGUUUUGUUGUUGAAUCGUUUUAGAUCGUUAAAGCAUUUUAAUCGGGUUUAAGCGUAUUGCUUAAUCUCGAUUAAUAUGAUUCCGUGUUAUUUGCUAAAUUUGUUAAUUUUUGGUAUUAUGCAAGCCGGAGUUCUUG